AUCGCUUCUCUGCCUUUUGGCCACGAUCAAGUGUAGUAUCUGUUCUUAUCAGCUUAAUAUCUGAUACGUCCCCUACCCGGGGACCAUAUAUUAAAUUGAUUUUUAGAAAUGGGUGAUGGAAUAGGGGCUUGCUCCGUCCACUCCACCCGGUAUUGCAGUUCUUCUGGGAAGGGUGCCCCCAU